UGUGGGUCGUCGUCCGGUUGCCGUCGGUCUGGGAGACUUGACACAUCGAAAUGUCUUUUCUGUGGAAUCGUGUUUGUGAAUACAAUCCAGUUUUCACGGGUUUAAUAAGGACGGGCAGAAUGUGGAACAGUGUUAGCGUCGCCGAGAAAAUCCCAACAGUGAAACACGACAGAGCUGCACAGUGUUUUACUGUAAGCUUGAACACAGCUGGCACUCAUGACUACGCCACCCUGCGGUACAAUCUAACCGGCGACGGAGAAGUAAAUCUAAUGUCAACCAAUGUUCCUGAGUCAUUCCGGGCCCAAGGCCGCCAUGGACUUUGUUGUGGAAGAAAAGUUGAAGGCUCACAUUUCUUGUUGAGUGAUGCAGAGGCACACCAGAGCACCUCUUAAUUCCGUGAUCCUAUCACAUCAGACCGAUCCCAGUAGGUAUCACAGAGAUGGUGUUUA